GAUGAACGCUGGCGGCGUGCCUAAUACAUGCAAGUCGAGCGAACAGACGAGGAGCUUGCUCCUCUGACGUUAGCGGCGGACGGGUGAGUAACACGUGGAUAACCUACCUAUAAGACUGGGAUAACUUCGGGAAACCGGAGCUAAUACCGGAUAAUAUAUUGAACCGCAUGGUUCAAUAGUGAAAGACGGUUUUGCUGUCACUUAUAGAUGGAUCCGCGCCGCAUUAGCUAGUUGGUAAGGUAACGGCUUACCAAGGCGACGAUGCGUAGCCGACCUGAGAGGGUGAUCGGCCACACUGGAACUUAGACACGGUCCAGACUCCUACGGGAGGCAGCAGUAUGGAAUCUUCCGCAAUGGUCGAAAGCCUUACGGAGCAACGCCGCGUGAGUGAUGAAGGUCUUCGGAUCGUAAAACUCUGUUAUUAGGUAAGAACAAAUUUGUAAUUAACUAUGCACGUCUUGACGGUACCUAAUCAGAAAGCCACGGCUAACUACGUG
rnacentral:rRNA from 1 species